UUCUAAGAUCACUUUUAGCACCGCCCUAAACAGAUUCAAAUUCAACACAAACCUUCAAAUAGGGUGGAAGAACGUCCAGGACCGGCCCUGCAUGUGCAACAUGCACCCACUGUUACAGCCUGUUAGAGUUAGCCGCAGGCGGACGACAAUAUCCACUGUCAUGGUACGGAUGAAGCCUGAGCUGGUCAGACUGUGCUGUCAUAGACAGGCCAAGAGAAAUGGGGACAGUGUGACCAGAGCUGCAGAUGUCAUCAGACAACUCCACACCAGGGCAAUGACAAGAGAAACAACAUGCUUUCACCUUUUUCAAUAAACUUAACUGGACUUUUCAUCCUGAUCUUUGACAUAUUUUUUUGAAUAACUGUUGUGCAUUUUAUGUAUUUUGGGGGGAAUUGCUCAGCCAAGAAAUCAGGUGGAGAAAUGGGAAAUGCAUGCAUGAGAAAUUAACAUUUCUCUUAUAUACCAUUGUUAUUCCUUUGUUAGUUUGAAGUCUGAUUUAUGUUAUUUUUAAAGUAAAACUUUUCGCCUUUUCAUGGUCCGUUUUCAAUAAUGGCUGCUGUGACUACUGCUAGUUAAACAUGAGGAUGAAAACGUCAGUUUUCUGGGGAAUUUACGUAUGUCCCCAUUACCAGUAAAACAUAAUCAAAAACCUAUUUA